rnacentral:tRNA from 1 species
GGGGGAUUAGCUCAAAUGGUAGAGCGCUUGCUCAGCAUGCGGGAGGUACUGGGAUCGAUACCCGGAUUCUCCA